GUGGCCACCAGGGGACCCCGUGUCAGGAGUUCAGACAGCAAUCACGGGAGUAAGGCGAGAUGAUGGCGGAGAUGUCAACAGCAGAGCUGAGCUGGAGCGUUCUCUGAAGCUGUGCUUCCAUAGGAAUUAAUUAAAAACGUUAGUGAACACGCACUUUUAGCUCCAACCCCAAUUAAGCAGACCUGAGCAGCUGAUCAAGGAUCACCAGAAACUAUGCAGAACGUUGGUCCUCCAUGCCCAGGAUUGGACACCAGUGUUUUUAGCUCCAACCCCAAUUAAGCAGACCUGAGCAGCUGAUCAAGGAUCACCAGAAACUAUGCAGAAUGUUGGUCCUCCAUGUCCAGGAUUGGACACCAGUGUUAUGCUGGAGAAAAAAACAGCCAGGCUAAAGCAUUCAAAGUGGAAACAUCUGCCGUGGCUCAAUAAUCCAGAAUUGGGAUGGUGGAAGGAGCAGAAGAAUGAGACAAUCAGAGAUCAGGCAGAGAUCUGCUGGUGCCCCUGAGGGAACCGAUUUACCUAAUGUGUUAGUUAAACCAAAAAUUUUCAUCACUCAACUUCAUGUUGUUCCUAAUCCAGACUUUUGUUCAUCUUUGGAGCAUAAAUGUAGAACUUUUUAAUCUAAUCUGAAAAAUUACUUUUUUUAUUUAUAAAAUAAAAUUCACGAGAGCACCAUGAUGCAUCAUUGUUGCAUUGGCGUGAGAGCUGGCCAUCGCAAGUAUUUUCAUACUUUUGUGAAAAUGUGUUGGGGAUACAUAAUUUCUGAAUAAAAUUUUUUUGUUGUUGUUGCUGGUUUUUGUUUACACAAGGCAUCUGUUAAAAAAUUCACUUGUGUUCUGCACAAAAGGGUCUUAUGGGUUUGGAGCAACAUGAGGGUAAGUAAUUAAUGACAGAAUUUACAUUUUUGGUUGAAAUAUGUUCUAAUGUGGUUAUAAUUGGUAAUUGUUUUCAUUUUCAAUAUUUUAAAGAUUUAUUGUUUUGAAAAAUUAUGUUUAUACAGAAAAGAUGGAUUCAUUUGAUAAGUUACAAUAAAGACUUUUAAAUUGAUAAAAAAAAGUUUCAAAUAAAUACUGCUCUUUUGCAAGUUCUAUUCAAAUAAUACUGAGAAAUUUAAUGGUUUCCACAAAAAUAUUGGGCAGCACAACUGUUUUAAACAUUGAUAAUAAUCAGAAAUGUUUCUUGAGCAGCAAAUCAGCAUAUUAGAAUGAU